rnacentral:rRNA from 1 species
UCCGAAGGUCCCGAUCGUUGUUCGGAAUCACUGGGCGUAAAGAGUAUGUAGGCGGCGUGGAAAGUCAGAUGUGAAAUCCCCGGGCUCAACCCGGGAACUGCAUCCGAUACUACCAUGCUCGAGUAAUGGAGGGGUGACUGGAAUUCUCGGUGUAGCAGUGAAAUGCGUAGAUAUCGAGAGGAACACUCGUGGCGAAGGCGAGUCACUGGACAUUUACUGACGCUGAGAUACGAAGGCCAGGGUAGCGAAAGGG